GAUGAACGCUGGCGGCGUGCCUAAUACAUGCCAGUCGAGCGAACAGACGAGAAGCUUGCUUCUCUGAUGUUAGCGGCGGACGGGUGAGUAACACGUGGAUAACCUACCUAUAAGACUGGGAUAACUUCGGGAAACCGGAGCUAAUACCGGAUAAUAUUUUGAACCGCAUGGUUCAAUAGUGAAAGACGGUCUUGCUGUCACUUAUAGAUGGAUCCGCGCUGCAUUAGCUAGUUGGUAAGGUAACGGCUUACCAAGGCAACGAUGCAUAGCCGACCUGAGAGGGUGAUCGGCCACACUGGAACUGAGACACGGUCCAGACUCCUACGGGAGGCAGCAGUAGGGAAUCUUCCGCAAUGGGCGAAAGCCUGACGGAGCAACGCCGCGUGAGUGAUGAAGGUCUUCGGAUCGUAAAACUCUGUUAUUAGGGAAGAACAUAUGUGUAAGUAACUGUGCACAUCUUGACGGUACCUAAUCAGAAAGCCACGGCUAACUACGUG
rnacentral:rRNA from 1 species